ACCGGGGCACGAACCCGCGUCCCCUGCAUCGGCAGGCGGCCUCUCAACCACUGCGCCACCAGGGAAGCCCCCACUCCGUCUUUUGAUCUAUGUGGCUCAUCGCAGAGCCAUCUGGUAAAGAAACAGAGGCUGAAAGAUCGCGACUGGGGUGGUCAGUCUGUCAAGGAAUUCAGAACGCCGAGGCACCAGGCCCUCGGGUGAUGGACGGCUGCUCCUGCACUCGGUUUAAUUAGAAGCAUGGCUAAUGGCCAGAGACUUGGAAGAGAGAUUAUAGAUUCAUUAAUUAGGUUCAUGUUUA